AAACUUCACAAUGGAGGCAACUCCGAUGAGGGAAUUCCAAGUGCUAGCACAUUAGUGUUAGCUUUUCUUAAGCAUAGAUAACUUAAGGAAUAAGGGCUGGGUAAGACGGGUGCCAGCCGCCGCGGUAAUACCCGCAGCCCAAGUGGUGGUCGAUUUUAUUGAGUCUAAAACGUUCGUAGCCGGUUCAUUAAAUCCUUGGGUAAAUCGGAUGGCUUAACUACCCGAAUUCCGGGGAGACUGGUGAACUUGGGACCGGGAGAGGCAAGAGGUACUUUUGGGGUAGGGGUAAAAUCCUGUAAUCCUAAAAGGACCACCGGUGGCGAAGGCGUCUUGCUAGAACGGAUCCGACGGUGAGGGACGAAGCCCUGGGUCGCAAACGGGAUUAGAUACCCCGGUAGUCCAGGGUGUAAACGCUGCAGACUUGGUGUUGGGGACCCUUUGGGGGUGUUCAGUGCCGGAGAGAAGUUGUUAAGUCUGCUACUUGGGGAGUACGUCCGCAAGGAUGAAACUUAAAGGAAUU
rnacentral:rRNA from 1 species